rfam:Gorilla gorilla gorilla genomic chromosome, chr1, whole genome shotgun sequence
GCCGGGUGUGGUGGCGCAUGCCUGUAAUCCCAUCUACUUGGGAGGCUGAGGCAGGAGAAUUGCUUGAACCCGGGAGGUGGAGUUUGCAGUGAGCCGAGAUCGUCCCAUAUUCCAGCCUGGGUAACAGAGCGAGACUCUGUCUCAA